CCUGCUGUAGCUCAGUGGUAGAGCGCCGGUUUGUGACGCCGGAGACUGCGGUUCGAACCGCAUGGUGGGACCA
rnacentral:tRNA from 1 species